ACCGUAAACCACAGAUGAUCUCUCGCCUUCUGUUUUGUAGUGAAAUUCGGUCUUCAGACAUCAUCAAACCGAACAUCACCAGGGAGAUGAACUGACUGGUAUAAGCCUGUGGAUAAAAUGCGAUCAGGGCCCAGGCACAGCUGGCACGUUCUCAGAAAGGAAAAUCCAUACUCGGCAAUUUUUCCAGUUGAUUCUCAGAUUCAAGAUUUGGCUACUCCUUACACAGCAAGCACGUUCUCAUCAGUCAUGGUUUCACUGAACUUCCAUGGCAGCCCCACAGAUCCAUCGUGAGAUAUUUAUGAAACAACACGAUGUCUGGGAUUGACUUCAAAAUAAGUGGGGACAGGUUCAUACGGAUCUGGAUGGCACAGCUCUGCUGAGCUAAUCAUUGCCAAGGACAGGCGACUCCUUACGUGAAACUCCACCUUUACAGAGAUUUGGAAUUUUCCAUAAUUAAAAUGUUUUUAAAAAUCCUU